CAGGAACUACAGCCAUGAGGUAGUACUGUACUAUACACUAUCUCUAUAGGGCUCAGGAACUACGGCCAUGAGGUAGUACUGUACUAUACACUAUCUCUAUAGGGCUCAGGAACUACGGCCAUGAGGUAGUACUGUACUAUACACUAUCUCUAUAGGGCUCAGGAACUAUGACCAUGAGGUAGUACUGUACUAUACACUAUCUCUAUAGGGCUCAGGAACUACGGCCAUGAGGUAGUACUGUACUAUACACUAUCUCUAUAGGGCUCAGGAACUACGACCAUGAGGUAGUACUGUACUAUACACUAUCUCAAUGGGGCUCAGGAACUACAGCCAUGAGGUAGUACUGUACUAUACACUAUGGGGCUCAGGAACUACAGCCAUGAGGUAGUACUGUACUAUACACUAACUCUAUAGGGCUCAGGAACUACAGCCAUGAGGUAGUACUGUACUAUACACUAACUCUAUAGGGCUCAGGAACUACAGCCAUGAGGUAGUACUGUACUAUACACUAACUCUAUAGGGCUCAGGAACUAUGACCAUGAGGUAGUACUGUACUAUACACUAACUCUAUAGGGCUCAGGAACUACGACCAUGAGGUAGUACUGUACUAUACACUAUCUCUAUAGGGCUCAGGAACUACGACCAUGAGGUAGUACUGUACUAUACACUAUCUCUAUAGGGCUCAGGAACUACGACCAUGAGGUAGUACUGUACUAUACACUAUCUCUAUAGGGCUCAGGAACUACGGCCAUGAGGUAGUACUGUACUAUACACUAUCUCUAUGGGGCUCAGGAACUACGGCCAUGAGGUAGUACUGUACUAUACACUAUCUCUAUAGGGCUCAGG